CAGCAGCCACGGGAAUACAGAGGGUGCAAGCGUUAAUCGGAAUUACUGGGCGUAAAGCGCGCGUAGGUGGUUUGUUAAGUUGGAUGUGAAAUCCCCGGGCUCAACCUGGGAACUGCAUCCAAAACUGGCAGGCUAGAGUAGGGCAGAGGGUGGUGGAAUUUCCUGUGUAGCGGUGAAAUGCGUAGAUAUAGGAAGGAACACCAGUGGCGAAGGCGACCACCUGGGCUCAUACUGACACUGAGGUGCGAAAGCGUGGGGAGCAAACAGGAUUAGAUACCCCUGUAGUCCCUGUCUCUUAUAC
rnacentral:rRNA from 1 species